UAGAAGUUCGUGUAGAAUAGUUGUGCUCAUCCCACAAACAUACCUGAGGAUUACUUACAAUCUGCAAUGAGUUUUAUGGAGAAGCAAUAGUUUAGAUUUCCUGUUUAACAAGCAUAAUUUGUUGCUAGACAUCUGCUCGUAAAAGUAAAUUCCGGCAAAUCCUUGUCUUCCGUAAUCAUUUACUUCAUGGAAAAACUGCAAUGAAUAUCCAACCAACAACAAUUUUGUCAAAAAGAGUUCCUUGAGUCCAGAUAUCUCCGUCCGCAGUCUCCCACAAAGAGAUCCACUGGCCAACAGCCAAUUACUCCAUCCUGGACUUCUCAACUUCACCAAUAGAAACCAGAUGGAGACUCAUACAACAAUGCUGUAUGGCCAGAACUUGAGAGAGAGAGCGAUAAAGAAAAAGAGAGGCCCCGUCCUUAGCUCGCAAACCGAUGGUCCGGACUCUGCAUUUCCUGCCUGAAGACGAAGGCAGGGGUGCAGCCGUCCCCCUGUGAGGUAUGGGAAGGGACCAUCCUGGUGGUGGUGGUGGUGGUGGAGGAUGGAGGGGAAUGGAAGCAUCAGCAUCUGCAAACUCAGACAUGUGAACGGGAGCAGAGCAGGAAUCAAACGUUUCCUCUCCUGUCUUCAUCAAUCACUCCUUAUUAAUCCAAACAUGCUGGAGAAGGCAGCCCUCGCUUCACUUGAGGAAAAAGGCCCGCUUUGUUUUCUGUUCUCAUUGAGUCAAGCCGGGUUUGAAAUGAACCCUCUCAAGGAAUCAAUGGGUUAAGAGCAUAGACUGUAAAAUAAGAUAAGCUAUAACUGUAUCUGUGAGAGAAAUGUGCCGGCAGGUGAGCGAUUCACAGAUGAAAUUGUACACAAAUGAUCAGAC